rnacentral:rRNA from 1 species
GACGAACGCUGGCGGCGUGCUUAACACAUGCCAGUCGAACGGAAAGGCCCUUCGGGGUACUCGCGUGGCGAACGGGUGAGUAACACGUGGGUGAUCUGCCCUGCACUUUGGGAUAAGCCUGGGAAACUGGGUCUAAUACCGAAUAGGACCACGCGCUUCAUGGUGUGUGGUGGAAAGCUUUUGCGGUGUGGGAUGGGCCCGCGGCCUAUCAGCUUGUUGGUGGGGUAAUGGCCUACCAAGGCGACGACGGGUAGCCGGCCUGAGAGGGUGACCGGCCACACUGGGACUGAGAUACGGCCCAGACUCCUACGGGAGGCAGCAGUGGGGAAUAUUGCACAAUGGGCGCAAGCCUGAUGCAGCGACGCCGCGUGAGGGAUGACGGCCUUCGGGUUGUAAACCUCUUUCAAUAGGGACGAAGCGCAAGUGACGGUACCUAUAGAAGAAGCACCGGCCAACUACGUG